AGUGAACGCUGGCGGCAGGCCUAACACAUGCAAGUCGAGCGGCAGCGGGUUCCCGCGAGGGGAUGCCGGCGAGCGGCGGACGGGUGAGGAACACAUCGGAAUCUGCCUGGUUGUGGGGGAUAACGUAGGGAAACUUACGCUAAUACCGCAUGCGACCCUGAGUCGACGGACUGGGGGUGAAAGUGAGGGACCUUCGGGCCGUCACGCGACCAGAUGAGCCGAUGUCGGAUUAGCUAGUUGGCGGGGUAACGGCCCGCCAAGGCGACGAUCCGUAGCUGGUCUGAGAGGAUGAUCAGCCACACUGGGACUGAGACACGGCCCAGACUCCUACGGGAGGCAGCAGUGGGGAAUCUUGGACAAUGGGCGAAAGCCUGACGCAGCGACGCCGCGUGA
rnacentral:rRNA from 1 species